AUCCCUUGAAAACAUUCCUCACAAUGACACUCCACUUCUUAAUUCUCAUCAUGCUGGUUGCCUUCUCCAGAGGUGGCCUCUCCCAGGUUGUUCUGACCCAGUCAGAUGCAGUGAUGAAGAAACCAGGAGAAUCCCAUAAAUUGAUUUGCGCUGUCUCUGGAUUUGACCUUAACAGCUACUAUAUGAAUUGGGCCCGUCAAAAAGCUGGCCAAGGAUUGGAAUGGCUUGUUUACUAUUACUCAUCUAAUACUGGGUAUUAUUCACCAAAUAUCCAAGGACGUUUUACUGCCUCCAGGGACAGUUCCAACUGCUAUCUCCAAAUGAACAACUUAAAAGCCGAGGACACAGCGGUCUAUUAUUGUGCAAGACACACAGUGAAAUAG